GAUGAACGCUGGCGGCGUGCCUAAUACAUGCAAGUCGAGCGAACAGACGAGGAGCUUGCUCCUCUGACGUUAGCGGCGGACGGGUGAGUAACACGUGGAUAACCUACCUAUAAGACUGGGAUAACUUCGGGACACCGGAGCUAAUCCCGGAUAAUCUAUUGAACCGCAUGGUUCAAUGGUGAAAGACGGUUUUGCUGUCACUUAUAGAUGGAUCCGCGCCGCAUUAGCUAGUUGGUAAGGUAACGGCUUACCAAGGCAACGAGGCGUAGCCGACCUGAGAGGGUGAUCGCCCACACGGGAACGGAGCCACGCUCCAGACGCCUACGGGAGGCAGCAGUAGGGAAUCUGCCGCAAUGGGCGAAAGCCUGACGGAGCAACGCCGCGUGAAUGAUGAAGGUCUUCGGAUCGUAAAACUCUGUUAUUAGGUAAGAACAAAUGUGUAAGUAACUAUGCACGUCUUGACGGUACCUAAUCAGAAAGCCACGGCUAACUACGUG
rnacentral:rRNA from 1 species